CUGGCGGCACGCCUAACACAUGCAAGUCGAACGCAGUAGCAAUACUGAGUGGCAAACGGGUGAGUAUAAUGUGGGAAUCUGCCUUUUGGUUUGGAAUAACACGGGGAAACUUGUGCUAAUACCGAAUAAGCCCUUACGGGGAAAGUUUUAAUGCCAAAAGAUGAGCCCGCACUUGAUUAGCUAGUUGGUAAGGUAAAAGCUUACCAAGGCAACGAUCAAUAGCUGUUCUUAGAGGAAGACCAGCCACAUUGGGACUGAGACACGGCCCAGACUCCUACGGGAGGCAGCAGUGGGGAAUCUUGCACAAUGGGGGAAACCCUGAUGCAGCGAUGCCGCGUGAGUGAAGAAGGCCUUUGGGUUGUAAAACUCUUUCGUCGGGGAAGAAAAUGACUGUACCCGAAUAAGA
rnacentral:rRNA from 1 species